GCCUUUGUGGUGUAACGGUAACACGUUCGGCUUGUAUUCGAUAGGCCAAGGUUCGAAUCCCGGUUAGGACA
rnacentral:tRNA from 1 species